rfam:Oryza glumipatula chromosome 11, whole genome shotgun sequence.
AAUAAAUGCAGUUUUACAAUGUUUAUAUCCAACGUUUGACCGUUCGUCUUAUUUGAAAUUUUUUAGAUUAGUAUUUUUAUUGUUAUUAGAGGAUAAAGCCUUUAUGUAUGAAUAAUUUUUUAAUUUUUUUAUAAUAUUUUUAAAUCAGACACAGUCAAACAUUGGACACGGAUACCCAUGGCUGUAAUUAUU